CCUACGGGGGGCUGCAGUGGGGAAUAUUGCACAAUGGGCGCAAGCCUGAUGCAGCCAUGCCGCGUGUGUGAAGAAGGCCUUCGGGUUGUAAAGCACUUUCAGCGGGGAGGAAGGCGGUGAGGUUAAUAACCUCAUCGAUUGACGUUGCCCGCAGAAGAAGCACCGGCUAACUCCGUGCCAGCAGCCGCGGUAAUACGGAGGGUGCAAGCGUUAAUCGGAAUUACUGGGCGUAAAGCGCACGCAGGCGGUCUGUCAAGUCGGAUGUGAAAUCCCCGGGCUCAACCUGGGAACUGCAUUCGAAACCGGCAGGCUAGAGUCUUGUAGAGGGGGGUAGAAUUCCAGGUGGAGCGGUGAAAUGCGUAGAGAUCUGGAGGAAUACCGGUGGCGAAGGCGGCCCCCUGGACAAAGACUGACGCUCAGGUGCGAAAGCGUGGGGAGCAAACAGGAUUAGAUACCCUUGUAGUC
rnacentral:rRNA from 1 species